rnacentral:sRNA from 1 species
AAAAAACCAACCUGGCUAUUCCUAGGAAUGAUAAAAUAUCUUCCUUUGUAGAAGGAACAGUUAGAGAAUGGAUCAGAAUCUUUCUAUCUAGGGUAAUAGCUUUUUAGGUUGGGGUAAUUGUUCGUCCCAAAUAGAUGACCAAAGGACUGGACUUUAGAAGGUGAGACCCUGUAACCUUUACUGAAAAUGAAAUUCAGAAGAGCAGAGGUGUCAGUUUGGCAAAUUUUUUGAGAGGGGUUACACAGAAGAAUGCAAUCUAUAUAGUGGACAGUCCUAGAUUUAGGGAGAGAAAGAGAGAAGGUAAUUCAGAAACCAGGGCCUGGCCAAAUUGGUGUGGGCUGUGCUGGAAUCUCUGAGGUAGAACAGUCCAGGUAAGUUGUGUAGAAAAGUGGGUGUCAGGAUCUGUUCAGGAAAAGGCAAAUAUGUUCUGUGACUGGGUAUCUAGAGGGAUAGAGAAAGUAGCAUCCGGAGAUCUAAGAUUGAGAAAUGAGAAUUCCCCAAGGGGAUAGUGGGAAGAAGUGUAUAAGGAUUAGCCACAACAGGAUGUACAGGAACUAUGGCAGAAUUAAUGGACCUGAGGUUUUGAACCAGGAGAUAGGUUCCACUAAGUUUCCUAACUGCUAAUGUAGGGGUUUUAAAGGGGGAAGAGGUAGGGCAAAGGAGGUUUUUCCUUAAGAGAUCAGAGGUGAUAUACUUAAGGCCCCUGAGGCUCUGGAGUGAAAGCAGGUAUUGAGGUUGGGUGAUGUACCUGGUAGAAUUCAGUAAUUGCUUGACAACAGGAGAAUGUUUAGCAGCAGAGGGGUUCUGGACAUCCCUGACAAGGAGGUCUACUUGAGAAGCUGGCCAGAAGUCAACUUGCAUUAGAAAAUGUGCUAUUACCAAGAAGCAUGUCACCAAGACAACCGAAUAGAACUGUCCAGAGUAUGUCCUUCUGCAGAAAUAUCAAUUGAGACAACUAUCCAGGCAUGAAAUACCUUCAUAAGAACUAAACAAAACAGGGAAAGCUCCUUAAACCAGAAGAGAGUUGUGGCAAAAAAAGACACACUCAACCAAGAGUUGCGAUGAAAGCAAUGUGUCACAUGAAUUGCCAAUACUUACACUAGUUAAAAGAAGAAAGAAACAAAAGAAAAUAGAGCAUCAUUAUAUAAAAGAGUCAACUUAUCAAGCAGCCCAUUGGUUCCUUGUGGUGCUGUCAGAAUGUACAUGAGGAACGUCUACUGAAGAAAGGAAAGCCUCUCAGAAGCCAAAUACCUGAAGAAAACUCACUCUGCCUCUCAUAAGAAUCCAUCAGUGGCCAAUAUCACCUCAGUGUUUCCACAGGACGUAUCCCAGAUGAUUGAGUCGGGGGAAAGUCUACAAAAGUUUGGAUGUUGAUUAUUUCCUAAUAUCCCAGAAAUGAGAGGAAAGCCUAAACAUGAUCUAGGAUUAAGGAUACCAGCUUUUGCAGAAGAACUAAAACAACUACCCAUGUCUAAACAAGCAACUACUAGACUCUUGGGCUUCCCAUUCACAACUGCCCAUUGUUGGGUUAGCUGGACUACUGACUAGUCACCAGCCAACAAACAGGCAUUAAAUUCACCAUCCUAAGGAAAUUAUUCAUACUCAAAACAUAACAGCCAAAAGUCAUGCACUUGAAGACUUCUGUCUCUACUCCUCUAUUCUACGGAUAAAGUGAAACCAUAACUUUCAGGAAAAGAAAACAUGAGAAUGUAGAUUACAAAAGUCGGAACUGACAAAAUACAUAAAGACCAUGGGAUGGAAUUUACAUUUUGAGGAUGGCAGAGUAAUGAAUCAGAAAGAGCCUUUGACACCAACGACUCACAGGAAGUCCCAACAUGUCUCCUUAAUAUCUUCAUAGUGGUCAUAUCAUUUGAAUAUGAAGAAGAAAAAGAGCAGGUGGAGGUAUUCAACCAUGCCGUCAAUCAACUAUGCAAUGCAACUAUGCAAUGACCAAUUAAAAGAAUAAGAAAUCUAAAUGAAUAGAUCUUUUAUUAUUAAUUUCAUUUAAUACUGGUUAAGCAAGAGAGACAGUUGAAUUAGGGUUUUUAAA